rnacentral:rRNA from 1 species
UAAGCGGAGGAAAAGAAACUAACAAGGAUUCCCCUAGUAACGGCGAGUGAAGCGGGAAGAGCUCAAAUUUGAAAUCUAAUGGCCUCAGGUCAUUCGAGUUGUAAUCUAUAGGAACGUUUUCCGUGCCGGCUCAUGUACAAGUCCCUUGGAACAGGGCGUCAUAGAGGGUGAGAAUCCCGUACUUGACAUGAACUACCGGUGCUCUGUGAUACGUCUCCAACGAGUCGAGUUGUUUGGGAAUGCAGCUCAAAAUGGGUGGUAAAUUCCAUCUAAAGCUAAAUAUUGGUGUGAGACCGAUAGCGAACAAGUACCGUGAGGGAAAGAUGAAAAGCACUUUGGAAAGAGAGUUAAAAAGUAUGUGAAAUUGUUGAAAGGGAAACGAUUGAAGUCAGUCAUGUCCUUCAGAUUCAGCUGGUUCUGCCGGUGUAUUUCUGUUGGAUGGGGUCAACAUCAGUUUUGGAUGCCGGAUAAAGGUGGGAGGAAGGUAGUACCCCCGGGUAAACUUAUAGCCUCUCAUUGCAUACGGUGACUGGGACUGAGGAACGCAGCUUGCCUUUAUGGCCGGGGUUCGCCCACGUACAAGCUUAGGAUGUUGACAUAAUGGCUUUAAACGACCCGUCUUGAAACACG